GACGAACGCUGGCGGCGUGCUUAACACAUGCAAGUCGAACGAUGAUGCCAGCUUGCUGGUGGAUUAGUGGCGAACGGGUGAGUAACACGUGAGCAACCUGCCCCUGACUUCGGAAUAACCGCGGGAAACCGUGGCUAAUACCGGAUAUGACGCGCUAUCGCAUGGUGGUGUGUGGAAAGAUUUAUCGGUUGGGGAUGGGCUCGCGGCCUAUCAGCUUGUUGGUGGGGUGAUGGCCUACCAAGGCGACGACGGGUAGCCGGCCUGAGAGGGUGACCGGCCACACUGGGACUGAGACACGGCCCAGACUCCUACGGGAGGCAGCAGUGGGGAAUAUUGCACAAUGGGCGCAAGCCUGAUGCAGCGACGCCGCGUGAGGGAUGACGGCCUUCGGGUUGUAAUCCUCUUUCAGUAGGGAAGAAGGCCUUCGGGUUGACGGUACCUGCAGAAGAAGCGCCGGCUAACUACGUG
rnacentral:rRNA from 1 species